rnacentral:rRNA from 1 species
UACAGAGGUCUCAAGCGUUGUUCGGAUUCAUUGGGCGUAAAGGGCGCGUAGGCUGCGGGGCAAGUCGGGUGUGAAAUCUCAGAGCUCAACUCUGAAACUGCACUCGAUACUGCUUUGCUUGAGGACUGGAGAGGAGAUUGGAAUUCACGGUGUAGCAGUGAAAUGCGUAGAUAUCGUGAGGAAGACCAGUGGCGAAGGCGAAUCUCUGGACAGUUCCUGACGCUGAGGCGCGAAGGCCAGGGGAGCAAACAGG